AGGGUUUGAUCCUGGCUCAGAAUGAACGUUGGCGGCGUGGGUUAGGCAUGCAAGUCGUGCGAUGAAGCAGUGCUUGCACUGUGGAUUAGCGGCGCAAGGGAGAGUAACGCGUGGAUACGUGCCCCUAGGCCUGGGAUAGCUGCGGGAAACUGCAGGUAAUACCGGAUAAUGUCCCCGGACCAAAGGUGUGAUUCCGCCUAGGGAGCGGUCCGCGUCCUAUUAGCUGCACGUGAGGUAAUGGCUUACGUAUUUGGCAAUGAUGGGUAGCGGGUGUGAGAGCAUGGCCCGUCUCACUGGGACUGAGACACUGCCCAGACACCUACGGGUGGCUGCAGUCGAGAAUCUUCGGCAAUGGGCGCAAGCCUGACCGAGCGACGCCGCGUGCGGGAUGAAGGCCUUCGGGUUGUAAACCGCUGUCAGAGGGGAGUAAAUGCAUGAGGGUUCUCUCUCAUGUUUGAACUAUCCUCAGAGGAAGCGCAGGCUAAGUUCGUGCCAGCAGCCGCGGUAAGACGAACUGCGCAAACGUUAUUCGGAAUUACUGGGCUUAAAGGGUGCGUAGGCGGCUAUGCAAGUUGGGUGUGAGAUCCCACGGCUCAACCGUGGAACCGCGCCCAAAACUGCAUAGCUUGAGGGAGAUAGAGGUGAGCGGAACUACGGGGGGAGCGGUGAAAUGCGUUGAUAUCCGUAGGAACACCGGUGGCGAAAGCGGCUCACUGGGUCUCUUCUGACGCUGAGGCACGAAAGCUAGGGGAGCGAACGGGAUUAGAUACCCCGGUAGUCCUAGCUGUAAACGAUGAGCACUAGGUCGGGGGGACUCCCAUAUCCUCUCGGCCGAACAGAAAUAGUUAAGUGCUCCGCCUGGGGAGUAUGGCCGCAAGGCUGAAACUCAAAGGAAUUGACGGGGGCUCACACAAGCGGUGGAGGAUGUGGCUUAAUUCGAGGCUACGCGAAGAACCUUAUCCUGGUCUUGACAUGCACGGAUGGGCUACCUGAAAGGGAUAGUUCCUGCCUUCGGGUGAAACGUGCACAGGUGCUGCAUGGCUGUCGUCAGCUCGUGUCGUGAGAUGUCGGGUUAAGUCCCUUAACGAGCGAAACCCUUGUCACUAGUUGCCAGCAUUCAGUUGGGGACUCUAGUGAGACUGCCGGUGUUAAACCGGAGGAAGGUGGGGAUGACGUCAAGUCCUCAUGGCCUUUAUGACCAGGGCUGCACACGUCCUACAAUGGCGCAUACAGAGGGACGCGAACUCGCGAGAGCAAGCAAAUCCCAAAGAGUGCGCCCCAGUUCAGAUUGCAGGCUGCAACUCGCCUGCAUGAAGCCGGAAUCGCUAGUAAUCGCAGGUCAGCAUACUGCGGUGAAUGUGUUCCUGAGCCUUGUACACACCGCCCGUCAAGCCACGGGAGUGGGGGGUGGCCGAAGACGCCGUAGCAACCUUCGGGAGCAAAGCGUCCACGCCAAACUCCGCGACUGGGACUAAGUCGGAACAAGGUA
rnacentral:rRNA from 1 species